rnacentral:rRNA from 1 species
GAUGAACGCUGGCGGCGUGCCUAAUACAUGCAAGUCGAGCGAACAGACGAGGAGCUUGCUCCUUUGACGUUAGCGGCGGACGGGUGAGUAACACGUAGGUAACCUACCUAUAAGACUGGGAUAACUUCGGGAAACCGGAGCUAAUACCGGAUAAUAUUUCGAACCGCAUGGUUCGAUAGUGAAAGAUGGCUUUGCUAUCACUUAUAGAUGGACCUGCGCCGUAUUAGCUAGUUGGUAAGGUAACGGCUUACCAAGGCAACGAUACGUAGCCGACCUGAGAGGGUGAUCGGCCACACUGGAACUGAGACACGGUCCAGACUCCUACGGGAGGCAGCAGUAGGGAAUCUUCCGCAAUGGGCGAAAGCCUGACGGAGCAACGCCGCGUGAGUGAUGAAGGUCUUCGGAUCGUAAAACUCUGUUAUUAGGGAAGAACAAACGUGUAAGUAACGGUGCACGUCCUGACGGUACCUAAUCAGAAAGCCACGGCUAACUACGUGC